rnacentral:rRNA from 1 species
UACGAAGGGGGCUAGCGUUGCUCGGAAUCACUGGGCGUAAAGCGCACGUAGGCGGACUCUUAAGUCGGUGGUGAAAUCCUGGAGCUCAACUCCAGAACUGCCUUCGAUACUGGGAGUCUCGAGUUCGGGAGAGGUGAGUGGAACUGCGAGUGUAGAGGUGAAAUUCGUAGAUAUUCGCAAGAACACCAGUGGCGAAGGCGGCUCACUGGCCCGGUACUGACGCUGAGGUGCGAAAGCGUGGGGAGCAAACAGGG